CCUACGGGGUGCAGCAGUGAGGAAUAUUGGUCAAUGGGCGGAAGCCUGAACCAGCCAAGUCGCGUGAGGGAUUAAGGCCCUGCGGGUCGUAAACCUCUUUUGCCGGGGAGCAGAGGUCCGGACGUGUCCGGGCCGGGAGAGUACCCGGAGACAAAGCAUCGGCUAACUCCGUGCCAGCAGCCGCGGUAAUACGGAGGAUGCGAGCGUUAUCCGGAUUUAUUGGGGUUAAAGGGUGCGUAGGCGGGCAUUUAAGCCGGCGGUCAAAUGUCGGGGCUCAACCCCGGCCUGCCGUCGGAACUGGGUGCCUUGAGUGGGCGAGAAGGAGGCGGAAUGCGUGGUGUAGCGGUGAAAUGCAUAGAUAUCACGCAGAACCCCGAUUGCGAAGGCAGCAUACCGGCGCCCUACUGACGCUGAGGCACGAAAGUGCGGGUAUCGAACAGGAUUAGAUACCCUGGUAGUC
rnacentral:rRNA from 1 species